GAGUUUGAUCCUGGCUCAGGACGAACGCUGGCGGCGUGCCUAAUACAUGCAAGUCGAGCGAUGAAGUUUCCUUCGGGAAACGGAUUAGCGGCGGACGGGUGAGUAACACGUGGGUAACCUGCCUCAUAGAGUGGAAUAGCCUUCCGAAAGGAAGAUUAAUACCGCAUAACGUUGAAAGAUGGCAUCAUCAUUUAACCAAAGGAGCAAUCCGCUAUGAGAUGGACCCGCGGCGCAUUAGCUAGUUGGUGGGGUAACGGCCUACCAAGGCGACGAUGCGUAGCCGACCUGAGAGGGUGAUCGGCCACAUUGGGACUGGGACACGGCCCAGACUCCUACGGGAGGCAGCAGUGGGGAAUAUUGCACAAUGGGGGAAACCCUGAUGCAGCAACGCCGCGUGAGUGAUGAAGGUUUUCGGAUCGUAAAGCUCUGUCUUUGGGGAAGAUAAUGACGGUACCCAAGGAGGAAGCCACGGCUAACUACGUGCCAGCAGCCGCGGUAAUACGUAGGUGGCAAGCGUUAUCCGGAUUUACUGGGCGUAAAGGGAGCGUAGGCGGAUGAUUAAGUGGGAUGUGAAAUACCCGGGCUCAACUUGGGUGCUGCAUUCCAAACUGGUUAUCUAGAGUGCAGGAGAGGAGAGUGGAAUUCCUAGUGUAGCGGUGAAAUGCGUAGA
rnacentral:rRNA from 1 species